rnacentral:tRNA from 3 species
GGGGAUGUAGCUCAGUUGGGAGAGCGUAGCGUUCGCAACGCUAAGGUCAGGGGUUCGAUCCCCCUCAUCUCCACCA